CGCGGCCUUUUCGACGAGAGAGGUACGGGCGUAGCGCUUCUCCCACUAUGAACCCCCAUUCGAAUAUCAAUGGAAGUUGCGGUGUGAUAUAUUUGGCGUUGCUGAUUUUUGCAGCAGCUAUGGGCACCGCUGGCCAAGAGUUUGUGAAUCUCCGACAGCCUUCCGAGUCUACAAUUCCACUUGGUUCUGCUCCUCUCCUGCCCUCCAUUGUGGCUAAUUGCUGAGCCAGUUGGCGCACGAUUUCCAAGAGUAUUGCCCGCACGGGAGCUUGCGAUUGUUAUGUGCAUGAUCACCAACGUUUGUUUUGUUGCCACCCAGCAAGUUGAGCGCCUGGUCGAGUGGAGCUGGCUUGUUUGGUUCGUUCAAAGCAGACUCGCAGCAAAUUUCUGGUGGUUCCUACUGCCAGUGACCANNNN
rnacentral:lncRNA from 1 species